rnacentral:snoRNA from 1 species
GUAGUCUGUGAUGACAAAGAUCUCAGUUGGCCUGAAUUCCUUUUUGGAAUAUGAGGGCAACUUAAGUCACUACCUCUUCUGAGACAC